rfam:Thielavia terrestris NRRL 8126 chromosome 2, complete sequence.
GGUUGUAUAGUGUAGCGGUUAUCACUCCGGAUUCUGAUUCCCUCAGGACAUUCCGGCAACCCCGGUUUGAUUCCGGGUACGACCU